rnacentral:rRNA from 1 species
UACGUGAGGGUGCAAGCGUUUAAUCGGAAUUACUGGGCGUAAAGCGUGCGCAGGCGGUUGUGCAAGACAGAUGUGAAAUCCCCGGGCUUAACCCUGGGAACUGCAUUUGUGACUGUACGGCUGGAGUGGCGGCAGGAGGGGGAUGGAAUUCCGCGUGUAGCAGUGAAAUGCGUAGAUAUGCGGAGGAACACCGAUGGCGAAGGCAAUCCCCUGGGCCUGCACUGACGCUCAUGCACGAAAGCGUGGGGAGCAAACAGG